rnacentral:rRNA from 1 species
AUUGAACGCUGGCGGCAGGCUUAACACAUGCAAGUCGAGCGAGCGGCGGACGGGUGAGUAAUGUCUGGGAAACUGCCUGAUGGAGGGGGAUAUCUACUGGAAACGGUAGCUAAUACCGCAUACCCUCAGAUGUGCCCAGAUGGGAUUAGCUAGUAGGUGGGGUAAUUGCUCACCUAGGCGACGAUCCCUAGCUGGUCUGAGAGGAUGACCAGCCACACUGGAACUGAGACACGGUCCAGACGCCUACGGGAGGCAGCAGUGUGGAAUAUUGCACAAUGGGCGCAAGCCGAAUGCAGCCAGGCCGCGUGUGUGAAGAAGGCCUUAGGGUUGUAAAGGACUUGCAGCGGGGAGGCGUUACCCGCAGAAGAAGCACCGGCUAACUCCGUGCCAGCAGCCGCGGUAAUAC